rnacentral:rRNA from 1 species
CAAAAGCUCAGAUUUGAGAAUCGCUUCGGCGAGUUGUGAAUUGCAGGUUGGCGCCUCUGCGGCGGCGGCGGUCCAAGUCCCUUGGAACAGGGCGCCAUUGAGGGUGAGAGCCCCGUGGGACCGUUUGCCUAUGCUCUGAGGCCCUUCUGACGAGUCGAGUUGUUUGGGAAUGCAGCUCUAAGCGGGUGGUAAAUUCCAUCUAAGGCUAAAUACUGGCGAGAGACCGAUAGCGAACAAGUACUGUGAAGGAAAGAUGAAAAGCACUUUGAAAAGAGAGUGAAACAGCACGUGAAAUUGUUGAAAGGGAAGGGUAUUGCGCCCGACAUGGAGCGUGCGCACCGCUGCCCCUCGUGGGCGGCGCUCUGGGCGUGCUCUGGGCCAGCAUCGGUUUUUGCCGCGGGAGAAGGGCGGCGGGCAUGUAGCUCUUCGGAGUGUUAUAGCCUGCCGCCGGCGCCGCGAGCGGGGACCGAGGACUGCGACUUUUGUCUCGGAUGCUGGCACAACGGCGCAACACCGCCCGUCUUGAACCACGGACCA